ensembl:lncRNA
GUGAGGGGGGUGGGCAGGGAGGGGAGAAGGAGGAGUUAGGAGAAGCAGCGAGAGGAAGGAGGAAAAGGACAGAGCCCAGAAACAGACACACACAAAAAAGAGGCUGGGAUGAGAGGGGAGGGGGAAGUUGUGGAUGGAGAGAAAAGAGAGUGAAUCAGGAAAAACAGUUUAAAUAAAACCAGGGGAGAUUAAAUUAACUGAUACAUACAUUCCAAGAGGUGAGGAAACUGAGGCUUGGCGAGGCUGUGAUUUUGGCUCAAGAUAAUUUGCUCCUUAACAAGAAGAGCAUGGAUUUGAACCUAGGCUCACUGACUCCACAUCCUUUCCACCACUGCCUUCAAGGAGCUUAUUCCUACCAGCUUCAUUUGAGGAACUACACACAUUCUUCGAGCACACACCUGUCACACCACCACUACGUCGCGUGAACGGCAAACCUGACAAGCUGUGAACAGAACAAGAUACCAUUCUUCUGAAGCAGGACUGUCCAGCUCUCCAGAUUCCAAGGAUCUUUUUUAGCAUCUCAGUCAUUUGACACCCCACCAACCACAGGCACUCACAAGCGCACUGGAUGGUUCUAUUUCUAAACACCUGUAAAUUGAGAAAAGCGCCCAAUGACCCAAAGCUACAACAAACCCAAGCACACUUUUAAAGGAAUUUUAAUUUUCAUCACCAUAUUCUUGGGGGAAAAAAAUUAAAACACAGGCAAAUAAGACAGAAGUCCUGCAGUCUACACUUUUGUCAUGAUCUCCAAAGGGGGGUUAUGUUGACAGCCACAGGGCCACUCCAGCAGAGCCGGAAGGUGUUUCUCUUACAGCUUUAAACUGGAGUCUCACCUGCCCACACUGCCUGGAGUGCGCCAUUCACUCCUCAGAGGAGCAGCAAGGUGCCCGGGCUCCUUCCCUGUGCUGAGCACGGCUCUAGAGGCCAGAGUUACAGUGGCAAACAAAACAGGGGACCAAAAGCCCGCUGUCCUGGAGCUCACUUUGCAUUCAUCAUUUUCUCAGUCUUGAAAUGAUUUUGUGAGAGGCACAAUUAUAUGCCUUGUCUUUCGUGAGUUAAAAGUGUUAACUUACGGAAUGUAACUCACAUAACCCUUCUGCAAUACUUGUUGGCAUUUCUUCCUCUUUAAAUGCACUGGAGGGAUUUCCCUGGUGGUCCAGGGGUUAAGAAUCUGCCUUGCCAUGCAGGGGACAUGAGUUCGAUCCCUGGUGGGGGAACUCAGAUCCCACAGACUGAGGAGCAACUAAGUCCGUGAACUCUAGAGCCUGCGCUUCACAGCUAGGGAG